rnacentral:rRNA from 1 species
UACGUAGGCAGCAAGCGUUGUUCGGAGUUACUGGGCGUAAAGCGUGCGUAGGCGGUUUGUUAAGUCUGUUGUGAAAUCCCCGGGCUCAACCUGGGAAUGGCAAUGGAUACUGGCAGGCUAGAGUGUGUCAGAGGAUGGUGGAAUUCCCGGUGUAGCGGUGAAAUGCGUAGAUAUCGGGAGGAAGGCCGGUGGCGAAGGCGGCGCUCUGGAACAUUUCUGACGCUGAGGCUCGAAA